rnacentral:rRNA from 1 species
AUGUUCCAGGGCAGGGCCCCACAUGUCAUAGGCCCAAAGGGUUCUAUCGGGCGCCGGGUGCAGCGGCAAACGGGCGCCUGGAGCGGCGCAACCCGGCUGGGCUCCCGCCCAAGUCGACAGGGGAGGGAAGGGCGCCAGGGCGCCGGCAGCUGCGGCGAGCUGCGCCGGGCAGGAGGCAGCAGAGGAGGUGGCGCGGCCCGAGUAGAGGAGGGGGACGCUCGCGGGGAAGCAGGGGGAGACGGAGGCAAGGGGCGCCGGUGGCCAUGGCCAGAGCGGGGAGGCGGCGGACGCCGGCGAAGGCAGCCGCGCGGGGAUGGGGAGCAGGGCCGGCCGUAG